CGCAUGGUUGUUAUUUAAAAGAUGGUUCUGCUAUCACUAAGAGAUGGUCCCGCGGUGCAUUAGCUAGUUGGUAAGGUAAUGGCUUACCAAGGCGAUGAUGCAUAGCCGAGUUGAGAGACUGAUCGGCCACAAUGGGACUGAGACACGGCCCAUACUCCUACGGGAGGCAGCAGUAGGGAAUCUUCCACAAUGGGCGAAAGCCUGAUGGAGCAACGCCGCGUGUGUGAUGAAGGGUUUCGGCUCGUAAAACACUGUUGUAAGAGAAGAAUGACAUUGAGAGUAACUGUUCAAUGUGUGACGGUAUCUUACCAGAAAGGAACGGCUAAAUACGUGCCAGCAGCCGCGGUAAUACGUAUGUUCCAAGCGUUAUCCGGAUUUAUUGGGCGUAAAGCGAGCGCAGACGGUUAUUUAAGUCUGAAGUGAAAGCCCUCAGCUCAACUGAGGAAUUGCUUUGGAAACUGGAUGACUUGAGUGCAGUAGAGGAAAGUGGAACUCCAUGUGUAGCGGUGAAAUGCGUAGAUAUAUGGAAGAACACCAGUGGCGAAGGCGGCUUUCUGGACUGUAACUGACGUUGAGGCUCGAAAGUGUGGGUAGCAAACAGGAUUAGAUACCCUGGUAGUCCACACCGUAAACGAUGAGUGCUAGGUGUUUGAGGGUUUCCGCCCUUAAGUGCCGCAGCUAACGCAUUAAGCACUCCG
rnacentral:rRNA from 1 species